GCUAUGCUCGUUACCGCGUUCGCGGUAAUACUGAGGGUGCAAGGGGUAUUCGGAGUCACGGGGCGGAAAGAGGGUGUAGGCGGUUGAAUAAGGCAGAAGUGAAAUCCGAUAUCUCAACUAUUGAACUGCUUUUUAAACUGUAUACCUAGAAUGUGGGAGAUGCAGAUGGAAUGUCUGGUGUAGGGGUAAAAUCCGUAGAGAUCAGAAGGAAUACCGAUUGCGAAGGCAGCUCACUGGAGCGCAACUGACGCUGAAGCUCGAAAGUGCGGGUAUCGAACAGGAUUAGAUACCCCAGUAGUC
rnacentral:rRNA from 1 species